UUGGCAGCUUCCCCUUCCCCAUCCGCCAGCCCUGGGCCAGCUCACAUCCAGCUGAGAGGACCCAGGUCUGCCAGGAUUUACCAGGCACCUCAGGGAUGUGGUCUCCAUUCAGAUGCCUCUUCCACACCUCAAGUCUUCCUCAGGCACCUGGAUCCGUGACCCACCCACACCUGUGCCGGCCUACCUCUCUUUCUCUCCUCUGCCCCCAACAAGAGAGUGAGUCUUCCAUCAUCUAAGGUAUGUAAGCACACAGGCCAGAAGCUCAUCCCAAGCCUGCUGAGAAAGACCUCGACUUGGUCUUGGUCUCGUCUUUCUCACCCUGAAUAUAUCUCUUGUUUGGGUUUUUAAAA